GCAAACUUGGUCAUUUAGAGGAAGUAAAAGUCGUAACAAGGUUUCCGUAGGUGAACCUGCGGAAGGAUCAUUAUCGAGUUUUUGAACGGGUUGUAGCUGGUCUCUCUUCGGGACAUGUGCACGCCUGGCUCAAUCCACUCUUCAAACCAUUGUGCACUUAUUGUAGGUCGGUUGGAAAGGUUUUGGUUCAGUAAAAUGAAUCAAGGCUCGGAAGACCUUCCUAUGUUUUUACUACAAACGCUUCAGUCACAGAAUGUCAUUUACUUGCGUAUAACGCAUCUAUAUACAACUUUCAGCAACGGAUCUCUUGGCUCUCGCAUCGAUGAAGAACGCAGC
rnacentral:misc_RNA from 1 species